rnacentral:tRNA from 1 species
GCCUGGCUGGCUCAGUUGGUGGAGCAUGCAACUCUUGAUCUCAUGGUUGUGAGUUUGAGCCCCACGUUGGGUG